GAGCUAUGAGGAAGUUUGUGCUUCUAUGUGAUAGUUGGGUCUAUCACUUACCGUCUUAUUUCUUCGGCGAUAAUGCAGUACAUCUGAGCUC